UACGAAGGGGGCUAGCGUUGCUCGGAAUCACUGGGCGUAAAGGGUGUGUAGGCGGUUGUUUAAGUUUGGUGUGAAAUCUCCCGGCUCAACUGGGAGGGUGCGCCGAAUACUGAAUGACUUGGAGUGCGGGAGAGGUGAGUGGAAUUCCUGGUGUAGCGGUGAAAUGCGUAGAUAUCAGGAGGAACACCGGUGGUGUAGACGGCUCACUGGACCGUAACUGACGCUGAGACACGAAAGCGUGGGUAGCAAACAGG
rnacentral:rRNA from 1 species